CACAGUGGGUCAGAGCACAAGGCGGUGCGGUCUGAUAUCCUUUUCCAACAUGAAUCCUUUCAGGAAGCUGCUUGGAUUUUAGCAACUCAUCUGAUUAGAGCCAGCAUGUUGGAAUUGCAUCACGUUUAGCUGUGGAUAUUCUACUUGCCAAAGGGAGGAAUUGAGAUCCAGGAGAAUCUGAGAAGGGAGAUGGAUGUUUGUAAAGCAGAAAAAAACCCUGGAAUAGAUUGAAGACUGGUAAGUGGCAGCUGCCAACGUAGACAGACAUCUUGUAGCAUAUCACUUA